rnacentral:piRNA from 1 species
UGCAGGGAACCGGGUGCUUCUGGGAUUAA